CAGAUUCAAAUUUCAAACUUGGCGCCUAUUUCCAGUUUGCUUCGUCCCGCCCAUAACAACCAAACUGCAUGUUUGGGCAUGUCAUGAGUCGUGAACGUGAAAGACGUGCCCUCAUGGACGCAUGAACUUCAAGGAUGUAUAACACUGCAGCUGGUCUUAUCAUGGUUGAAGCCACAGCGGACAUGUCAACUGAAAGCGGCUUGUGCACUGAUGGUACCUGCUGUAGAAUGAGUCAUGUGGACAAGAAAACGUACAACCCUCGACACUUCACCUUGCGCAGCCAAAUUGCCAAGUAAAGAUCCAGAGAUCCAGUCCUGACUCCUGUGUCUCCUUUCCAACUGCUUUUCUCCCUUUUCCCUAUAUGUGUGUGCGAGCUGCUUGUAAUGAUGUCAUGCCUGUAAAAAAGGAGACUGGACUGACCUGGAGAAGAAGAAAAGUGGCACAUUGUUGGCUUUGCUAGCAGUGCUCAUUGUGCCAACAUGAACACUGAUGGUACCUGCUGUAGAAUGAGUCAUGUGGACAAGAAAACGUACACUCCUCGGCACUUCACCCUGCGCAGCCAAAAUGGACAAUUGGAGGUAUUUAAGGAGGCCCCAGCAGCCAAGCAAGUGAACAGACAGUUUGAAGUGAUCAGGCUCUGUUUCUCAUGCACAGUAUGUAUUGCCCACAUUGAAUGUCUCCUAAUAUGAUUUUUACAUUUGUUUAAUUUGCAAGAAAUGGUUACAAAGUUUAAUGGCCAUGAUUUAAGUCCAAAUAUUGUUGAUUGUCUUCAUAAGCUGCUCCUGUGCUCCACAAUUGUGGAAGAGUACAGCUCCCAAUACACAUUUAUUGCAUCGAGAAAAAGGCCUCAAAAUUACUCUUAUUGCACAUAACAGGCAAUAAGUAGAUUCUGCUAGUAUAUGUUACAAAAACCCACGUCAUCAUGUCUGAUUUUAAUCACUAUCUGCUGCUAUGAGAGAACGGUCAGACUGAAUAAUGCAGUGAAUCGAAAUGGCAAUUCUGUCUGAGUAUCAGGCUAGCAAUACAUUGAGUGAAGUAUGUAUGUGCAGUCAGCUCACACUGCAUACUAGUAAUACAACAACUAUUAUAAUAAUUGAUUAAUCGGUUUGAAACGUUUUUCGUGAUUAAAACAAGAUUU